AAUAGAGACACAGAGACGGUGUUUUGUUAUGUUGCCCAGGCUGGUCUUGAACUCCUGGACUCAAGUGAUCCGCCCGCCUUGAUAUCCCAAAGUACUGGGAUUACAGGUGUGAGCUGCCUCGCCCAGCCAGUAUGUGAAAUAAUAAUAACUUUUAUUGAUUUUUUUCUUAUCUCAAAAGUAAUCCUUUUGCUUGUGUCCCCUGGUGGAAGUCUCUUGCCUCUGGGAGCCAGGAUCCUGGGAGCCGCGGAGCCUAAAGUUGUGGGAUGGAAAGCAGACAUUCCCCAGAUUCUGUUUUGUUUCAGAAUUUCAUAAUAGUCCCAUUCACAACAGCCAAAAAUAGAAACGACUGAAGCGUCCACCAACAGGGGAAGGACCGAAUUACAAUAUGACCAGAGACUAAACGCCGGCAGCGGUGAAGACGGAUGGAUCGCUGGCAUUCUGCACAGCACGGGUGAGCUGCACCACACCAUGCCAUGCCGCAGAGGCCUCACCUGGAAGAUUUCCACAGGCCCUAUUUUUAAUCACUAAGAAACCCAGACUGCUCCUAAUAGAAAAUAAUAUAUAAUUUGCUUUUUGUUUUUCGAUAUCUUUUUUUUUCUUUUGGAGACAGAGUCUUGUGCUGUCGCCCAGGCUGGAUGCCGUCCCCACCAAAGGGGUGAAGCCAUGAACCAAUCGGAGCCAAUCAGAGAACUCCAUCUCCCCAACCACAGCAAUGGAUCACAGCCCGGCCGUCGGUCCCUCCGUGAGAUUGGGUAUAUGGGUGUUGGGAAAUGAAAGCAUUUUCUUUCUCUGGAAUUACCAUCUGUAAGGAUGGGAUGGGUCUGGGGAGAGUCUGCCUGCCUGAGAAACGCAACAAUAAAAACAUUCGCGGAGCCCUUGCUGUGUGCCAGGCCCUGCUCUCCAAAGUUUACAAGCAUGGACUCCUGUUGUCCUCACAAUAACCGCAUGGGGACAGAUAGGAGUGAUGUUCAAAACAUUUAAUAACUGGGCUGGGCGUGGUGGCUCACACCUGUAAUCCCAACACUACGGGAAACUGAGGCAGGAGGAAUGCUUGAGGCCAGGAAUUCAAGACCAGCCUGGGCAACAUAGUGAGACCCUGUCUCUAAAAAAAUUAAUAAAUUAGCCGAGCGUGGUGGUGAGCACCUGUAGUUCCAGCUACUCAGGAAGCUGAGGCGGGAGAAUUGCUUGAGCCCAAGAGGUCGAGGCUGCAGUGAGC
rnacentral:lncRNA from 10 species